AGUAGUAGCAGUAACAAAACCAUGAUAGUCUAAGGAUAUAAGCAAGUCAGAGGUGGUAGAAAAUGAUCCCAGUAAUUUGGUGUUCAGUGAGCAGGGCACAUUCUGCAUUGUUUUUCCACCACCGUGUCAUUCUGAGCAAAAAUGCUUCAGGGGAACACCACUGAACAGAUGGCAAGAGGUUUUUCCAAAUGAAAGAUGUCCUAACAGGCUGGAAUGAAAUCAACCCCAGUUGAGAAGGAGGUUUGCUUCUGAAUUAUUUUUCCCAAACCCAAAGUAGAAACUGAUACUGAUAAAAAACCUGUGUGAUACUCCUUGCACAGCAGAGGGAAAACUCACUAGAAACCCAAUGACCAUGCUUUUACAUGAGUCCAUGAUGAAGGUGGAAUAAGCUACCAAAGGCCAAUGAAGGCAGACAUCCAAAGCCUGAGGCAGAACUGGGGCAGCCCAGCUAUAUGAGAAUGGUCAUAUUUCAAAAUAGGCUAGUCCAGCAUAAUCCUGUUUAUGAAAUGCAGGUGGAGUCUAAUUCCGAGUUUGUGGUUUGAGCUUUAAAACUCAUUAUGUUUUGGUUCUGUACUCCUUGGAGACCAACUGACUCCUUGUACAUUAACGUCAAGAUGCUCAGAUCAAAUAGACAGCUGAAGUUUACAGCUCUGGUGUUCUGAUAACGAGGCAUGGAUGUGAGACAAUUCUCCUCUCUGGAAGCUGUCAGUCAUCCUGCAAUCCAGAAUACGUGAAUAAUAGGCGUUCAGGCCUCGAUAUAAGGCCUGCUCAUUCAACAGGCAUUUUAUGACUUUGUCUUCAGCGAGAGUGUGUGGUUUGUAAGAUAGGAUCUGGUUAGAAAAGACCAACCAAAGCUUGGAUAUGACAGCGAAACUAAAGAA